CCUUGCUCCCGAGGCCUGAGCUUGCAUCUGAGACCCUGUAUCUAGAAGUCAAGGCCAGGGGAUCCAUCGUCCAUGACAGGUGAGAUAUUAAGGCCCAGAGACCUCCCAUAAAUGACAGAGCCCCAAACUGCCAUCAGAUUUCAAAAGCUGAUGUCUUGCCCAAAGGAGUCAUGAAGCCAGUAGAUUAAACAAUAAUUGUAUGGAUAGAAGUGAUUCUCAGAGCUAACUUUGGAUUGGUAGACGCAGAGCUAAUUUGGAUUCCGUUCAGACUGUAAACCAGCACACUGUUGGAAUGACAACCAGCCAAG